ACACAUGCAAGUCGAGCGGUAGCACAGAGAGCUUGCUCUCGGGUGACGAGCGGCGGACGGGUGAGUAAUGUCUGGGAAACUGCCUGAUGGAGGGGGAUAACUACUGGAAACGGUAGCUAAUACCGCAUAACGUCGCAAGACCAAAGUGGGGGACCUUCGGGCCUCAUGCCAUCAGAUGUGCCCAGAUGGGAUUAGCUAGUAGGUGGGGUAACGGCUCACCUAGGCGACGAUCCCUAGCUGGUCUGAGAGGAUGACCAGCCACACUGGAACUGAGACACGGUCCAGACUCCUACGGGAGGCAGCAGUGGGGAAUAUUGCACAAUGGGCGCAAGCCUGAUGCAGCCAUGCCGCGUGUGUGAAGAAGGCCUUCGGGUUGUAAAGCACUUUCAGCGGGGAGGAAGGCGGUGAGGUUAAUAACCUUGUCGAUUGACGUUACCCGCAGAAGAAGCACCGGCUAACUCCGUGCCAGCAGCCGCGGUAAUACGGAGGGUGCAAGCGUUAAUCGGAAUUACUGGGCGUAAAGCGCACGCAGGCGGUCUGUCAAGUCGGAUGUGAAAUCCCCGGGCUCAACCUGGGAACUGCAUUCGAAACUGGCAGGCUAGAGUCUUGUAGAGGGGGGUAGAAUUCCAGGUGUAGCGGUGAAAUGCGUAGAGAUCUGGAGGAAUACCGGUGGCGAAGGCGGCCCCCUGGACAAAGACUGACGCUCAGGUGCGAAAGCGUGGGGAGCAAACAGGAUUAGAUACCCUGGUAGUCCACGCCGUAAACGAUGUCGAUUUGGAGGUUGUGCCCUUGAGGCGUGGCUUCCGGAGCUAACGCGUUAAAUCGACCGCCUGGGGAGUACGGCCGCAAGGUUAAAACUCAAAUGAAUUGACGGGGGCCCGCACAAGCGGUGGAGCAUGUGGUUUAAUUCGAUGCAACGCGAAGAACCUUACCUGGUCUUGACAUCCACAGAACUUAGCAGAGAUGCUUUGGUGCCUUCGGGAACUGUGAGACAGGUGCUGCAUGGCUGUCGUCAGCUCGUGUUGUGAAAUGUUGGGUUAAGUCCCGCAACGAGCGCAACCCUUAUCCUUUGUUGCCAGCGGUCCGGCCGGGAACUCAAAGGAGACUGCCAGUGAUAAACUGGAGGAAGGUGGGGAUGACGUCAAGUCAUCAUGGCCCUUACGACCAGGGCUACACACGUGCUACAAUGGCAUAUACAAAGAGAAGCGACCUCGCGAGAGCAAGCGGACCUCAUAAAGUAUGUCGUAGUCCGGAUUGGAGUCUGCAACUCGACUCCAUGAAGUCGGAAUCGCUAGUAAUCGUAGAUCAGAAUGCUACGGUGAAUACGUUCCCGGGCCUUGUACACACCGCCCGUCACACCAUGGGAGUGGGUUGCAAAAGAAGUAGGUAGCUUAACCUUCGGGAGG
rnacentral:rRNA from 1 species